rnacentral:rRNA from 1 species
GCAUAUCAAUAAGCGGAGGAAAAGAAACCAACCGGGAUUGCCUCAGUAACGGCGAGUGAAGCGGCAAGAGCUCAAAUUUGAAAGCUGGCCCCUCCGGGGUCCGCAUUGUAAUUUGCAGAGGAUGCUUCGGGCUCAGCCCCCGUCUAAGUGCCCUGGAACGGGCCGUCGGAGAGGGUGAGAAUCCCGUCUGGGACGGGGUGCCUGGGUCCAUGUGAAGCUCCUUCGACGAGUCGAGUUGUUUGGGAAUGCAGCUCUAAAUGGGUGGUAAAUUUCAUCUAAAGCUAAAUACUGGCCGGAGACCGAUAGCGCACAAGUAGAGUGAUCGAAAGAUGAAAAGCACUUUGAAAAGAGAGUUAAACAGCACGUGAAAUUGUUGAAAGGGAAGCGCUUGCGAUCAGACUCGCCUGCGGGGUUCAGCCGGCAUUCGUGCCGGUGUACUUCCCCGUGGGCGGGCCAGCGUCGGUUCGGGUGGCCGGUCAAAGGCCCCGGGAAUGUGUCGCCCUCCGGGGCGUCUUAUAGCCCGGGGUGCCAUGCGGCCUACCUGGACCGAGGAACGCGCUUCGGCUCGGACGCUGGCGUAAUGGUCGUAAGCGACCCGUCUUGAAACACGGACCAAGGAGUCUAACAUCUACGCGAGUGUUUGGGUGGCAAACCCAUACGCGCAGUGAAAGCGAACGGAGGUGGGAACCCUUCGGGGCGCACCAUCGACCGAUCCUGAUGUCUUCGGAUGGAUUUGAGUAAGAGCGUAGCUGUGGGGACCCGAAAGAUGGUGAACUAUGCCUGAAUAGGGCGAAGCCAGAGGAAACUCUGGUGGAGGCUCGCAGCGGUUCUGACGUGCAAAUCGAUCGUCAAAUUUGGGUAUAGGGGCGAAAGACUAAUCGAACCAUCUGGUAGCUGGUUCCUGCGA